rnacentral:tRNA from 1 species
GCCCCGAUGGCUCAGUGGAUAGAGCGUUCGCCUCCGGAGCGAAAGGUCGCAGGUUCGAAUCCUGUUCGGGGCA